GUACCGACUGCGGACUGCGCCACGGCUGCCACUAAAUGCCGGGCUCCGUACGGGCAGGAGAAGCGGCCGCGAUUUCAAGGCGUCUUCGGGAAAACACACUCUUUCACCAGCCCGUUUUCUUACCCGUCUCCCCACAAUCCGGGCCCUACCUAUCAUGGAAGAUUCUCGAAAAACACAGGAGUACUGUACCCCAAAGCCACGCCUAUGAACCCGGGGUUCCCUGCCUCCUCUCCAUCUAUUACAACCUCCUCCGGCGCCUUAGAACCUGUGCCACAGAGCACCACCACCACCGAAAAAGCGGCAUACCUGUUAUAAUCCGCGGAGCUACCAGACAUGAUCCAAAAAACCACUCAGUGCCCGACUGGAAAGACAGAGGAGCCGCACCACCCGUUUUUUAUAGGCUCGCGGCCGGGACCCGUUUUCUGCGGAGGAAUUUUCCCGUCGUUCUACGACAAGCCACAAAAUUGUGAUCGUGGGGUGCUUAUCUCAGAAAAUAUCCUAAGCAAAUCGGUGGGAAAACCCAAAUUUAGUUAUCUGUCGAUCUUACAGCGUUGCUGAACAUCCCAAGACCCUGGGGGGGGAUGUUGGGACUCUUUGCUCUGCGGCGGAAGAAUAUUGCAGCAAGCGGUGGGCAGACCCGCGUUCCCCGCCCGCCCUGCUCCUACGGGGUUUCCGCGUCCCCGAAGCAGAGGCGGCCGGGCCGCCGGGCUGGACCGGGAGGCGGAAGGCUGGGGCGCGCCGGACGGUUGGCAGCUCUGGCUUUCCCGCCGGCGAGUGGGACCAGGCUCGCCGGUCCCGCAGUGCUCGGUGCCGGAGGGGUAGGCACGUCCACACUCUGCACUGGAGGGGAAUCGGUCUGUUCCGCUCGUUCCCACCGCUACUUAUCUUGACGGUAGAGAGCCGCCUGGCCUUUGGCACGAGCGUUUAACAUCCUUCAGACCUUGACAGUGAAACUCCUGCUACGGAAAAUGUCGGCUACCCAGCAAGUCCCGUUUAGCACUACUGUUACAUGCUGUGGAGGAUUUCCAGAGUCCCUUAACAGGAAAUAAUCAAGGGCUAAACUCUGGUUGAAGUCACAAUUGCUCAAGGGGUUUCAAGGUCAAACAGACUGAUGAGGAAAAGAAUUUUUUCACUGCUGGCAGUAAUUCCUUAGACAUAUAGACUUCGAAAAAAUAAAGGGGGUGGGCACUCUGCCAUCUUCCUGACUCCCGUAGAAAGGCUGAGGUGAUGCAUAACUAGCUGGUGUUCCCUGAGACUGCCUCUGUUUGGGAAAGCCUUCGUGUCUGAAGAGAGAAGAUGGUCAAGGCAUAGUGCCCCUUUGCUUGCUAGAGGCUUCUAUUUUUAUUUUCCUUUAAAAUUCCUUUGAAAAGUAACUUUAAAAUUUUAUACUCACAAUUGACCCAAAUAAAAGAAAUUAUAUGGGC